rnacentral:lncRNA from 1 species
UGGUGGACAUCAGGGAUUCAGGUGUUGAGAUAAAGGUGGAACCUACAGAGCCAGAGCCAGGCAUGUCCGGGGCUGAGAUCGUAGCUGGAGUUGGUCCAGUCCCAAGUUUGGAGCCACCAGAACUCAGGAGUCAAGACUUAGAUGAGGAACCUAGAAGUUCUGCAGCUGGAGAGAUGGGUGAGGCAGACGGUUCCAGUGGGAAAGGCGAGGAAAGGCCACUUCCGGCUGUGAAGACAGAGGCGUCCCCUGAAAGCAUGUUGUCUCCAUCACAUGGCUCAAAUCCUAUUGAAGAUCCUUUAGAGGCAGAGACUCAACACAAGUUUGAAAUGUCAGGGUCAGAGUUCCUUUCAAGAGCAAGGGGAAAGAAGGAACGCCUCUUAGCUUAGUCUUAAUUCCGUGUGCAGUGAAGAUCAAGAAGCAAUUCAGGCUCAGAAAAUAUGGAAGAAAGCCAUCAUGCUUGUAUGGAGAGCUGCAGCCAACCAUCGGUAUGCCAAUGUGUUCCUGCAGCCUGUCACAGACGACAUAGCUCCUGGCUACCACAGCAUUGUGCAGAGGCCUAUGGAUUUGUCAACUAUAAAGAAAAACAUUGAAAACGGACUGAUCCGCAGCACAGCCGAGUUUCAGCGUGAUAUCAUGCUGAUGUUCCAGAACGCUGUUAUGUACAAUAGCUCAGACCAUGAUGUCUACCACAUGGCAGUGGAGAUGCAGAGAGACGUCUUGGAACAGAUCCAGGUACAUUGAUGCUCAUUUCUGUUCG